GUGAACAGUGAGCUGGAUUGCCACCCCUACUGUGUAGUAUUGGCUCUGGCUUUAGCAACUCCUUAUUACGCUUGCAUAGUAUGAAAUUUCUGCUUCAACCAGUUUGCUCUUCAUGCUAUUUAGUACCAAGUAUCACUUUCAUCAAUUGCUCAUCUCUUCGUGUUAUCAAGUAUUGAUGUCUCUGUCUGUUCAACUAUUGAUGAUGCUGAGUAUCAGUUUCACCUACCAUUCAUCUUGAACUGGGGGGAUUAUCUGUAUCAUUAAUAUCUCAGCUCUUGUUAUGCUCCGUGAUUAUUAGUUUUAAUAAUUUCUUGAUCACAAUGUUCUGAGCUGUUAACUUGUGUACAUACUGUGAUAAAAUGUAUAGUGACUCUCCAAGUUGCAGCAUAAACCUUGAUCCCUCCUACCUCAUGCAAAAGCUGUUUGGCUUGUCGUCUUCUCUCAAGUUGGCUUCACCAGAGAAAUUAUCAUCUGAACCUGUUCCACCACUUCAACUAUGGAUGCUUGGCAAUUUAACCUUCAUUCUCACUUACUCUAAUCAUCACCUUUAUAAUUUCAGAAAUUAUUAAGAGUAAAAUUUACUAUGUGGUGAUGAUUUCAAGAAGUGAUGGAAUGAAGGAUACCUGUCUGGAUGGUCCGCAGCUGACAAGGUGAACCACGUUUUGCCAAUAAUUUCCAGAAGUGAUAUUAAUUGAUCUAUGUUUACUAGGGCAAAGCAAAUUCAUUGAAUGCUCAAAGUUUGUAAAUAAAUAAAAAGUGUAGAUUGAUUGAAUCUAUUCGUUAGUAGUAAUUUUGGUUUUCGUAAUAUCAUCAUGCAAUAAAACGUCCAAAUGGCCUUUGCUUUUAUUCAUUUUGGAUUCUGAUAAUAUCACCAUACGAUUUUUUUGGCUGCAUGAUUGGUGAGCAUUUUGGGGAACAUGUAGCGGUACUCUUUUGGGAAUGCAGUAUUGUUACAUGUCUCCAUAAUUGCCAUCUUUAUAUGGUGUCGAUGUGUUGGUGUACAUCAUAUGAAGGGUUUCAAUUUGUUUAUACACACUAAGAUGCCACUUGAAAUCUAUCAACACAUUAGUAACAUUAAAGAGAACACUUUCUGGGGACACAAAGCAUCUCCUUUCGGGGAUCUAUAGAGCAGCUGAAAGAAACGUGGAGAGACUAGCAAUUUGCAGCAAAGAAGACCUUACCAUGUACUUGAAAACAAGCUCAGCCACUAACAUUUCUCCUGCUUUAUUGAUUUAUUAUCCAAAUAAAAAUCCACUUUGUUGUUUCUACAUUGGACGGUGCAUUUGUGAUCUUGUUUCACAAUACAUAAUAUUUUGGUCAGCAGCCGUGCCACUUUGCAAGGGAAUAAAGGUAUCUCUUUCUUUUCUUUUUUUGUUUUUGCUAAAUCGAAGUCCUUUCCAUUUUAUGCUACCAUGGUGUUAUCCUAGUAAGCACCACUAUGAGGAUUUUUGCUACUUUUUUUAUGUGGUUAUUUUUUUGUUCCCUAAUGUUAUGGCUCCAUUACAAGCGCGCUACAUCUGCUUCUAUUCAUGGUUUGAUGGAAUUUGGAUUUUGGCUUAACUGUAAGCAUUUUAAAAUAUUUCCAAUAGCGCGAAUUGUAAUGUCAAAUGUUUGAGCAUCAGAUUUACCUCAGAGAGGAUUUUGAGUCCAUUGUAGCCUGUUCUUACACAUUUUAUUAUGCUUCAUGGUC